rnacentral:lncRNA from 1 species
CCGGGCCUGAGGUGGGUGGGUCUCUGCGCCCCCUGCCUACCCCACUUCCCCCUCCAGUUCUCAGCUUCUCUUUGAAGUCCGAGAAAAAGUUUGCAAGUUCCCUGAAGGACAGAUACGGAAGAUUAUAAAACCAGCUUCUAGUUUGUCUCCAUGUGGAAGUUCAGCCUUCUGGCCUCUCCCGCACCUCUUCAGUAUCUAUCCUCCUACCGAGCACCCAUCUGAUGGAUCUCUCCCCACUGCAACCCACCCUCCUCUCCAGGACCACUUUUUCUUGCCUGUAAUUCUGGCCUUAGGAAUGCCCAGAGGAGAUCUGUACCCAAAAAGUAUGUUUGAGCAAAGCUAAGUCUCCAGAAUAAAGAUAAUCCCAAUUUACAAGUCAGCCAUUAGAGAUUUAAUUCUUUUACACCUUCC